AUGAUGCAAUUCAAUGCAGCAAUCAGUCAACUUGCCCUUGUUGAAAUUCCUUUGAAAGUUAGAAGUUUUACUUGGAGCAAUAUGCAGCAAGCCCCUCUUCUAGAAAAAAUUGAUUGGGUGUUCACUUCUGAAAAUUGGUCUUCAAAUUAUCCCAAUACAAUGGCUAUUCCCCUCUCCAAACCUGUCAUGUCCAUUGGCACUAGCAUACCUAAGGCUCAAGUUUUUAGGUUUGAAAACUUUUGGCUUCAACAUCAUGAUUUUAAAGAGAUAGUUCAAUCUAAUUGGCAACAACCUUCAUUGGCUACUGACAGUGCUAAAUUGGUCACUGCUAAGUUUAAAAGGCUCGGAAAAUGCCUUAAAAUUUGGAGUAAAAGCAUUUCCAAUUUAGCUGGCAGCAUUCAUGCCACCAAUAAUGUGAUUUUGAUGUGGGACUUUUUUGAGGAAUACAGAAUGCUCACUGAUAGUGAACACAAUGGAAGGGAAAUGCUUAAGGAGCAUUUGUUGAAAAUGCUGUCUUUCAGAGGAUUUAUUGGAGGCAAAGAGCAACAAUUAGAUGGGUUAAAUUUGGUGAUGAAAACUUGA
rnacentral:rRNA from 1 species